UACAUGGGAACUUAAAGGGACACUAAGGGGAACAAUGAUUUCUUCUGCAUCAGUAGAUUAACCUUCCACAAUACCGAAAACACCACUCUUACUGCCAGAAUCCGCUUGGUAAUCCAG
rnacentral:lncRNA from 1 species